CUCCCCUUAUCAUUUCAAUGAAUGGCAACUGCAGCCUUGGUACUGUUAUAGCGAUGAAGCUACAGACGUCAUUGCCUCCUGUUGGACGCGAGAUGUGUCCAAGCAUCAUCUCCCUGCUUAAAGGAAAACUCUCUAACUUCCAGGCAGCCAGCAAGAGAGUCUUUUCGGAGAACACAUGCACCCCCAAAAUAUUUAGCACACACAAACACACGCACACAGAGAAAGAUGCAGGUUCUAUAUAUAGUUUGUAUGAAUUCAAAGUUACUGUCGUUGGGAGAAGGAACUGAAAUUUCCUGAUCAUCAACGGUUUAUCUGCACUGUUUUAUUAAAUGCAUCAAGAAGAAAAAGAAGACUCAAUCAUUAAGCAUCCUCGUUAGGAUUUCCUUCCUCCCACCUUUGAAGGAUGAUCGGCGUGGAAACCUACUUUAAAACCUGGAAGAUGCCUUCUGAAUGAAUGGAACAGCCCGGAGGACUCUUGAAAGGAAAGAAUCUGAAGUUGGGCCACUUGGUCUGCUCUUUGCAACAUGUCUUGUCCACUUCUCUAUCGAACAGAAGACCGAGUCGCUUUUCUUUCUCUUUUUAAUCCCUCCCUCUCUUUUUUAUUUAAGAACUUGAUUUGAAGCAGGAAACAGAAAUGAGCUUUGGCAUACUUUGGCGGCAAAGACAUGGAAACAAAGUAAAUGCUGUAGACUGGGGCAUUGCUAAACAUGCUGUGAUACAUGAAGGUAAUGGAACAUAGCUGGGCUAUAAGAAACGAUGAGUAUGAUGAAUACAGAGAAGCAUCAGAAGACACAUCAACCGAUGCAAAAAAAAAAAAAAAAGUCAACAGAGGCAGAACACAGAAAAUGCAAU